ACGGGAGUAGUUUACUUUAAAACAAUAAACUUCAAAUUUAUUAAUCCUUCUUGGCUCCUGUA
rnacentral:tRNA from 1 species